rnacentral:rRNA from 1 species
UGGGGAAUAUUGCACAAUGGGCGCAAGCCUGAUGCAGCCAUGCCGCGUGUGUGAAGAAGGCCUUCGGGUUGUAAAGCACUUUCAGCGGGGAGGAAGGCGAUAAGGUUAAUAACCUCAUCGAUUGACGUUACCCGCAGAAGAAGCACCGGCUAACUCCGUGCCAGCAGCCGCGGUAAUACGGAGGGUGCAAGCGUUAAUCGGAAUUACUGGGCGUAAAGCGCACGCAGGCGGUCUGUCAAGUCGGAUGUGAAAUCCCCGGGCUCAACCUGGGAACUGCAUUCGAAACUGGCAGGCUAGAGUCUUGUAGAGGGGGGUAGAAUUCCAGGUGUAGCGGUGAAAUGCGUAGAGAUCUGGAAGAAUACCGGUGGCGAAGGCGGCCCCCUGGACAAAGACUGACGCUCAGGUGCGAAAGCGUGGGGAGCAAACAGG